AUUGAACGCUGGCGGCAUGCCUUACACAUGCAAGUCGAACGGCAGCAUGGAAGAGCUUGCUCUUCUGAUGGCGAGUGGCGAACGGGUGAGUAAAGCAUCGGAACGUACCGUGUAGUGGGGGAUAACGUAGCGAAAGUUACGCUAAUACCGCAUACGCACUGAGGUGGAAAGCAGGGGAUCGCAAGACCUUGCGCUAUACGAGCGGCCGAUGUCAGAUUAGCUAGUUGGUAGGGUAAAGGCCUACCAAGGCGACGAUCUGUAGCGGGUCUGAGAGGAUGAUCCGCCACACUGGGACUGAGACACGGCCCAGACUCCUACGGGAGGCAGCAGUGGGGAAUUUUGGACAAUGGGGGAAACCCUGAUCCAGCCAUGCCGCGUGAGUGAAGAAGGCCUUCGGGUUGUAAAGCUCUUUCGGCCGGGAAGAAAUCGCACAGGCUAAUACUCUGUGUGGAUGACGGUACCGGCAUAAGAAGCAC
rnacentral:rRNA from 1 species